rnacentral:rRNA from 1 species
GACGAACGCUGGCGGCGUGCUUAACACAUGCAAGUCGAACGAAGUGGCGAACGGGUGAGUAAUACGUGGGUAACCUGCCCUCCUUUUUAGGAUAAGCCUUGGAAACGGGGUCUAAUACCGAAUAAAGGGGGAUGGGCUCGCGGCCUAUCAGCUUGUUGGUGGGGUGAUGGCCUACCAAGGCGGUGACGGGUAGCCGGCCUGAGAGGGUGACCGGCCACAUUGGGACUGAGAUACGGCCCAGACUCCUACGGGAGGCAGCAGUGAGGAAUAUUGGUCAAUGGAGGAAACUCUGAACCAGCCAAGUCGCGUGAAGGAUGACGGCCUAUGGAUUGUAAACUUCUUUAGUAGGCGAGUAAGUAGCCUAAGAAUAAGUAUCGGCUAACUCCGUGCCAGCAGCCGCGGUAAUAC